UACGGAGGGUGCAAGCGUUAUCCGGAUUUACUGGGUUUAAAGGGUGCGUAGGUGGGUUUGUAAGUCAGUGGUGAAAUCUCCGAGCUUAACUCGGAAACUGCCAUUGAUACUAUAGAUCUUGAAUUAUCUGGAGGUAAGCGGAAUAUGUCGUGUAGCGGUGAAAUGCUUAGAUAUGACAUAGAACACCAAUUGCGAAGGCAGCUUACUACGGAUAUAUUGACACUGAGGCACGAAAGCGUGGGGAUCAAACAGG
rnacentral:rRNA from 1 species